rnacentral:lncRNA from 1 species
AAAUUCUAAAAUUUAAAAUUUAAAAUUUCAAAAUUAGAAAUUUUAAUUUGUAAAUUAAAAUUUUUAAAUUUUUAAAUACAAAUUUUGAUUUUUAAAUUUUAAAUUUUAAAUUUUAAUUUAAAUAUUCAAAUUAAAGUUUUUAGAUUUAAAUUUAAAUUUAGAUUUUAAAUUUGAAUAUUUAAAAUUUAAAUUUAAAUUUUUUUAAUUUUCAAAUUUAUAUUUUAAAUUAAAUAUCAAAUAUUACAUUUUUGUGCAAAUUUUAAAUUUUAAAUUUUAAUUUUAAUUUUAAUUUUAAAUUAUUUU